AGACGACGCGGCGAGGCACUGCAGGACGCGGCACGGCAAGGCUAGAGGUAGUGUUGUGGUGGUGACGGUGGUGAAGGUGGCUGGGUGAGCCUUGAUCGUGAACACCCACGUGGCCCCUACACGCCAUGACAAGACCAACGUGACGCAGAUAACGGGCAGUGUCCACCGGCCCUCAACAGUGCACCAGCUCUGCCUGCAGCCCAGCCCCUGACAAGCCUUGGGUCUCUGUGUGCUGCAGCCCCUCACCAUGGACACAUGGUUCAGGACUUGCCUGCUGCUCUGCCUCUAUGGGUUCUUCAAGGAGCUACGUCCCUCAGAGCCCUUCCUGACGGAGUACCUGAAGCAGCCACCCAUGAACCUGACGGAUGAUCAGGUGACAUAUGAGGUGUACCCGGUAUGGACCUACUCCUACCUGUCCCUGCUGGUGGUGGUGUUCCUGCUGACAGACCUGCUGCGCUACAAGCUGGUCAUUGUGGCGGAGGGCAUUGGCUAUGUGGUCACCUGGUCACUGUUGCUGUGGGCACGAGGGGUGCCUGCCAUGCAGCUCAUGGAGUUCAUGUAUGGUGUCGCCACCUCCACUGAGGUUGCUUACUAUACCUACAUCUAUGCCAAGGUGGCUGGCAAGUUCUACCAGCGGGUCACUAGCUACACCCGUGCUGCACUUCUCUCUGGCAGGUUCCUCUCUGCUGUGCUGAGUCAGGUACUGACUCACACUGCCCUCAUGAGUUACCACGACCUCAACUACGUGUCACUGGCCAGUGUGAGUGUGGCGUUCAUCCUGGCCUGCCUGCUGCCCUCCGUCUCCACCAGCGUCUACUUCCACCGCCAGCAGUACUACGUCCCCACCAGUGAGGGCAGCAGCUCCAUCCAGCUCAGCCCAACACAGCAGUGGCAGGGAGACGACAGUGGGGGUGGCGGUGGUGGUGGUAGUGUUGCUGUUGUUGCUACUACUGCUGGUGGUACUGGUAGUGGUGCUGGUGAAUCAUGGAUAGUUAAGUUUAAUAAGGUGCUGAUGCUGAUGUGGGACGACUUCCAAGUGGCCUACAGCAACAAGUACCUGCUGAAGUGGUCGGUGUGGUGGGCCUUUGCCACCUGUGGGAACUUCCAGGUGGGGAACUACAUCCAGCCGCUGUGGGAGCAAGUGCAGCCCGUGGAGGAGGGCGAGACACUGUACAACGGUGCUGUGGAAGCCAUCCAGACCCUGCUGAGUGCUCUGUCGGCCUUUGGAGUGGGGUACGUGCAUCUGAACUGGGAGCUGCUGGGGGAGGGCACACUGGCGGUGAUCUCCAUCCUGGACGGGGUGUUGCUGAUGACGAUGGGCCUCAGCUACAACAUUAUAGUCACGUAUACCAACUACAUCAUCUUCCGCGUCUCCUACCAAGUCCUCAUCACUAUUGCCAGCUACCAGGUGGCUAAGAGUCUGCGAGAGGACAGCUACGGCCUGGUGUUUGGGAUCAAUAUGUUCAUGUCGCUUCUCCUGCAAUCACUCCUCACAUUAAUUGUGGUACAGGUGCUGCAUCUCUCGGUACACACUCAGUUCAUCGUGUAUGGCGUUUACUUCCUUUUACUGGCGAUGGUAUUCCUGGCGCUCUCCACAUACUCCCUGAGCAGCAUGGGAUGUGCAGGGAUACGGGAGGCUGGCGUGUGGGAGCAGCCUAUUGGAUCCCCUCAGGAGGCGCCGCUGGGGUGUGCUGAGUCUGUCUGAGUGUCUGAGUGGGCGAGAGUACAGGUUGUAUUCUGAAACUCUUCUCCGACUCACCCUUACUAAAUCAAAAGGCUCUCUGUAUAUUGAAAGUUACAUGUUUUUAAUGAUGUCUUUAUAGUUCUAGUGAUGGACUGACAAUAUUUUCACAUUACAGUAUUAAAAGGAGAAACACUCUAGUUAUCUCGAUGAUCUUUGAAAAUUAUUGUAUUGAAGUUAUACUGGAUUUUAAUUGUUUUUACUUCUUCUGGCAGAUUGACAAAAUUUUUGUAUUAUUGGUAGGAGAAAUACUCUUGAGAACCUGGCUAAUCAAUCUCUGUGGCCUUUGAAAAUAGCCAUGGUAAAGCUGCACUGUUUUUUUUUAUUAUCUUUUUAUGGAUCUAGUGACAGAUUGACAAGACCUUUAUACUAUUGGCAGGAGAAACACUCUUGAGAACCUGUGUCUUUUGGAAACAUUCAUGGUGAGAGAGUAAGGUUUCCAGAAUAUAGGCCUUUGUGUGUGUGUGUGUGAGUGUGUUGAUGCACUUAUGGACUCAAGUAAUCAGGGAACACAGAUAGGCUGGACUGCAAUGCUGGUAUUAUAUGAACUGCUUUCCUAUCCAUGCAUUUAUCACUAGAAUUACUGGUUGUUGGACUCAGUUAGAUGGGAGCUUUGCUAAUCACAGGAUCUGAACUGACACAGCAAGGCACAUGGGCUGAGUACUGCUGGUAAUAGUGAACACAAUUUGUAACACACACCUCAAUUUGAACAAUGAUCUGCUAUUCCACGUGGUUGUGUUGUUGUGGAGGAAAGGUGGUGGUCAUGUUACAGCUCUUGUUAACUGUUAAAUGUGGAUGGAUCAAGAAAAUGUUAGUCUAUCAAUGUUUACAAUUGUUAUUUGUUAUGCAUAUACUAUUUAUUUGUUAUUUUUUCAUAAUUUACUUGUGAUUAUGAGUGGAGCCUUGUAAUUACUGGUGAUGUGUGUGUGUGUGUGUGUGUGUGUCUGUGUGUGUGUGUGUGUGUGUGUGUGUGUGUGUGUGUGUGUGUGUGUGUGUGUGUGUGUGUG
rnacentral:misc_RNA from 1 species